CAUGGAUUCACACGCAUCUGGUAGCUUGGUUGUUGGGUGCUCACUGGGUGGUUCCCCCAGUGCCCCGCUCCUACAGUGACUGCAGCCAGCAGCACCCAGGAGACGGAACCUCCCCGCCCAGCCCGGCGCCCGCCAGCCCUGGUGCCGUUUUUAUAGCAGCAUGCCUCUAGCAAUCAAGACACCUGGCACCUCGGAGGGCCGACUUCCAGAAGGAUUUGCCACAGGGCACCACAACAACUUCUCUGCCAUUCAGAGUCACAGCUGCACAGGUCUGGAUCUCCGCCUGGGGCCGGCGUGGGGGCUCUCUCAGUCCUGGGGCUGGUUCACUGGAGUUUUCUUUCUUUGUUACUAGCCAGCCCCUCAUGGCUGUAAUCCCUUGCUCUAGUAAAUAAUUCUUUAUAUUGAAUUUUCUCUGUUCAAAUUACUACGUGAUUUCUCUCUCCGGACUGGACUCAGACUGAUACAAGUAUGGACCCCCUAGAAGGAACAACAAAUGGAGCUGCCGUCUAUAUACACACGUCGAUUUAGGUCUCUGUCUCUGGCAACUGAAAAGAGACCCAACAAAACAUCUUACAGAGCACCAGGGCCAAUUCUUGAUGCGUCGUUAGAUUCUGUGUAGCCAGAAAGCAGAAACAGAAACAUAUCCAAGCCAGGCGGAGGAAAAACUUUGAGGCCUGUUUAUCCAGGUUCAAGACAAUUUCUAUUUAAAAAAAAAAAAAAGAAAAAAAGAGAGAAAAAAAAAGCUCAUAACAGAAUAAGUUCAGCUUCUCCUGAGUGUCAGAGCUAAGAUCUAACGCCUCUGCUGGUUUCCAUGACAACCACCAGCAGCUACAAUCAUGCCGAACCAAGAACCAGAGGAUUCAGUAACUUUACCUUGAUUCUGUGGCCAGAUUAUUGCCAAUUUUAAAAGGAAAUGCAUAGUGA
rnacentral:lncRNA from 10 species